GGAUGUGAGGGCGAUCCGGCUGCGACAUAUGUCACUCCAUUGAUCGCCAGGGUUGGUUCGGCUAGGCUGAUCUGGCUGGCUAAGCGGGUGUCCCCUUCCUCCCUCGCCACUCCAUGUGUGUCCCUCCCGAAGCUGCACACUCAGUGGAAGAGGACGACCAUCCUCGAUAGAGGAGGAUCGUUCUACUUGGGCAAGGGUUCACGAGUAGCUGCAUUCUCCUGCUAGAACCUCCAAACAAGCUCUAACAUGUAAGUGAGAUGAUUUGGUAUUUCUUCUCU
rnacentral:snRNA from 1 species